CCUACGGGAGGCAGCAGUGGGGAAUCUUGCGCAAUGCGCGAAAGCGUGACGCAGCAACACCGCGUGAGCGAUGAAGGCCUUCGGGUUGUAAAGCUCUGUCCUCAAGGAAGAUAAUGACGGUACUUGAGGAGGAAGCCCCGGCUAACUACGUGCCAGCAGCCGCGGUAAU
rnacentral:rRNA from 1 species